GUGCCACCCGCCGCGGAAUAAGGACGGGGUGAGCGUUCUCCGGAUUUGGUGGGUGUAAAGGGAGCGUAGACGGCUUGGUCAGUCAAAAGUAACAACCCAUGCCUCAACCAUGGGACUUCUUUUGAAACUGUCUGGCUGGAGUGCAAGAGAGGUAAGCUGAAUUCCUUGUGUAGCGGUGAGAUGCGUAUAUAUUAGGAGGAACACCAGUGGCGAAGGCGGCUGAGUGGACUGUAACUGACGUUGAGGCUCGAAAGCGGGGGGAGCAAACAGGAUUAAAUACCCUGGUCCUCCACGCCAUAAACGAUGAAUACUAGGUGUCAGGGGGCACCCUUCUUUGGCGCCCCACCAAACACAAUUACUACCCCCCCUGGGGAGUACGCUCCCAAGAAUAAAACUCCAAGGAAUUGGCGGGCCCCCUCACAAGGGGGGGAACAUGUUUUUUUAAUUAAAAACCAAAAAAAA
rnacentral:rRNA from 1 species